GACGAACGCUGGCGGCGUGCUUAACACAUGCAAGUCGAACGGAAAGGCCCCUUCGGGGGUACUCGAGUGGCGAACAGGUGAGUAACACGUGAGUAACCUGCCCUUGACUUCGGGAUAACUUCAGGAAACUGGGGCUAAUACCGGAUAGGAAUCCUUGCUGCAUGGUGGGGGUUGGAAAGCUUCGGCGGUUUUGGAUGGACUCGCGGCUUAUCAGCUUGUUGGUGGGGUAGUGGCUAACCAAGGCUUUGACGGGUAGCCGGCCUGAGAGGGCGACCGGCCACAUUGGGACUGAGAUACGGCCCAGACUCCUACGGGAGGCAGCAGUGGGGAAUAUUGCACAAUGGGCGGAAGCCUGAUGCAGCAACGCCGCGUGCGGGAUGACGGCCUUCGGGUUGUAAACCGCUUUCAGCAGGGGCGAAGCUUGUGGUGACGGUACCUGCAGAAGAAGCACCGGCUAACUACGUG
rnacentral:rRNA from 1 species